rnacentral:lncRNA from 1 species
CCUGGACCUCUUUCCAAUCAAACUUGUCUUGUAACCAGAGUUGAUGGGACUCCUCAGCCUAAAGGAUUAAUAUACUAACAAGGUCCUCUGGCUCUUGAAAACUCCGCUCAGACACCAACAUUUCAACUUGGUCCAAACUAGGAGCAGGAGAAAACCAGAACUCUCAGCAUGACCUGAAGUGAACYGGCUGGUGAAACUCUAGACGAUCUAAUAUUGGCAUUAAUCACCUGUGAAAUCCUUCAUAUGUCCUUCAAAU